CAUAAUACUCAGUAUACACACAAAACACACAAAAAAGUGGGGACUCGCUCGUCUGUACUUCUCGAACUGGACGCUGGCUUGACAACAGUACCUCACUUUUCCCACUUAGUGUCGUGUGUUCGUGUGUGUGAGUGUUGGCUGCCUUGUUUUCCAGACUCGACACCGAGAAUGAAUAUAUUCAAACGAGACAAAGGCUCAGCGGCUGCUACUCAGGAGCUCGGCAGUGCCGUCAGACACAGCCAGAACAAGCAGGAUGAUGGGGAUGGCUCACAGGUGAAUGUUCACACUGGGACAUUAAAACACAGUUUUUCAUAUAGGAAGACACCACUGAGGAUGCUAUUGAACUUAAACCAAAGACAAAGCUGAGAGUUUGUCUUUAGUUGGCACGAUUCAAUUUGAAUUUUGCAUUUAUUUCCCUUUUUGUAAUAAACGUGUUGCUUUGCAUAGACACGAGAGGGUGGGGGUGAUGGGGGCAUGCAGAAAGUUAAUCAUUUCACAUUGACCUAUCAGGUAAAAAUGCACCAUCAAGAUGCUGGUGCCUUUCCUGACAUAGUUGUGCAAGCAGAUCUUCUUUUGAGACAGAAAAAAAAGGUAUACCUGAAUGUGAUCACAGGGAAAAUUAUUAUGUUUGAUAAUAGUGAAAAACUCUUCUGUGGAAAAGCUGAGUACACACUAGGCAACUAUUAUGCAAAUUGUACAGUAUGCAAAGUGACUUCUGCAUCAGUUGCUACAAACAUCUGUCACUCUUCCAAAAUAAUUUCAAUUUAAAUC